GCAAAGGUGGAGAGAAGCCAGGAGGAGUUUGACCGCAUCUCUCGAGCCAUCAAGAAGGAGAUGGAGCAGUUUGAUAUUGUGAGAGUGAAGGAUUUCAAAGACAUGUUAGUGAAGUACUUGGAAGCUCUCAUGACCUCCCAGCAGCAAAUAAUCAAAGUGUGGGAGACAUUCCUCCCCGAAGCAAGGGCUAUUUCUUAGAGGAUCUGCCGAUUGCCUUGAGUUAAAGAAGUUGCUGCUGUAAGUUGCUGAAGAGUGGAAGUUAUUAGCGAUGAAGGAUUUUCACUUUCCAAUUUAUGCAUACUUCUUUCUUUUUUUUUUCUUUAGCACUAGCUGAUAUGUCUGAGUCUUUUUAUUUUUUGUUUUUAUUUUUUUUCUCGUUUUUAUAUGUAUACAGCCAGUUCCCGGUGAUUCAAAUUCUUGACCAUUCCUCGAAAUUCUUUUUUUUUUGGUUUUUGUGAAUGUUUGAAGACGACAAAAUGCAUCUUUAUUGCUUCAAAUGAUUAUAAUGCAGCCAUUCCUAGAUGUUUAUGAAAGAUUUGCUUGUUGAUAUUUUAAGAUAUUUGGAACAUAAUAUAUUUUUUCUCUCUCCAUUUAAAAUGUUAAUGGAAAAGUGAAACUAGCAUUAAUCCAGAAUAUCAGGUAUGAGUGCUUUAAAAGAUAUCUUGUUUUUGUAGAACAAUAUAUAUAUAUGUAUUUCCUUGCAAAAGAUGUAUGAUUCUUCAUUCUUGUAGAGCUUCAGAUAGAUUUUUUUUUUUUUUUUUUUUACCCACAGACUACCCAUUCAUUAAAAAAAAAAAAUGUUUACAAUAACGUCCACUUUAACCUUACUACUGCAAGAUGGUCUGGUAUUGGAAAUCAUGAAUGGUCAUCUAAUUAUUUCAGUGAGGGGGUGAAAGUUGAUGAAAGCGUGGUGUGUGUCUGGGCUAGUUUGUUAUUUAUUUGUUCAGUUUUGAAUGAAGAAAAAGAUCUGAGUAUGAACACAUUAUCCGUGUUGAAAGUCGAAAUGUUGAUCCAGCUAAUGAAGAGCUUACAUUGCUACGUGGUAAUUAAGUGCAGUUAAUUAGAUGUGCUCGUAUUUGUGGUAUUUUCUUUUUUUCUUUUUUUUAUUUAUGUAAUCCACUUUUUGAUGUAUUUUUUCCAGAAUGAAAAGAAAAGAAAAAAACAUUAUUGUAUUGUAUCUCAUAGGGUGCACUUAGGAUGUUUGUGAAUAAGUUAAGAUUAAUCUUUUUUUUCUUUUUUUUUUUCAAGAGGGGGGGAGGGGGAUGUAUUUUUCAGCAUUUUAUUGCUCCUAAGCUUGUUUUGCGUCUCCGGAAAAAGAUGGAGGGAAAUUUUGAUUUACUUUAGCUACCCCUUUUCACGUUAGAUUAAGGCUUAUUUUGAUUCUUUGGGAUUAUUUUGUUAUAUUUGUAAAACUUCCGAGUUUGUAUUUGCUAAAACCUCAUGCCAUUCAUUCUACGUUUUUUGAAUGCUCGGGUUUGUACUUUAUAUUUUGUCAUUAGAAAAGUAAAAUCUGUGCUGAAAUUGAUUGUACAGUAUAUAUAUGUAUAUGAUUGAUCACUUGAAAAAUUAUUUAAGGUGA